GAUGAACGCUAGCUACAGGCUUAACACAUGCAAGUCGAGGGGAAACGAUGAGAGAGCUUGCUCUCUUAGGCGUCGACCGGCGCACGGGUGAGUAACGCGUAUCCAACCUACCCAUUACAGGGGGAUAACCUUGCGAAAGUAAGACUAAUACCCCAUGGCAUUUUAUGGUGGCAUCAUUAUAGGAUUAAAGAUUUAUUGGUAAUGGAUGGGGAUGCGUCUGAUUAGCUUGUUGGCGGGGUAACGGCCCACCAAGGCAACGAUCAGUAGGGGUUCUGAGAGGAAGGUCCCCCACAUUGGAACUGAGACACGGUCCAAACUCCUACGGGAGGCAGCAGUGAGGAAUAUUGGUCAAUGGGCGAGAGCUUGAACCAGCCAAGUAGCGUGCAGGAUGACGGCCCUAUGGGUUGUAAACUGCUUUUAUAGGGGAAUAAAGUGAGCUACGUGUAGUUUAUUGCAUGUACCCUAUGAAUAAGGACCGGCUAAUUCCGU
rnacentral:rRNA from 1 species